UACGAAGGGGGCUAGCGUUGCUCGGAAUCACUGGGCGUAAAGCGCACGUAGGCGGCUCUUUAAGUCAGGGGUGAAAUCCCAAGGCUCAACCUUGGAACUGCCUUUGAUACUGGGGAUCUCGAGUCCGGAAGAGGUUGGUGGAACUGCGAGUGUAGAGGUGAAAUUCGUAGAUAUUCGCAAGAACACCAGUGGCGAAGGCGGCUCACUGGCCCGAUACUGACGCUGAGGCACGAAAGCGUGGGGAGCAAACAGG
rnacentral:rRNA from 1 species